CCUACGGGAGGCAGCAGUGAGGAAUAUUGGUCAAUGGACGAGAGUCUGAACCAGCCAAGUAGCGUGAAGGAUGACUGCCCUAUGGGUUGUAAACUUCUUUUAUAUGGGAAUAAAAUGUUCCACGUGUGGGUUUUUGUAUGUACCAUAUGAAUAAGGAUCGGCUAACUCCGUGCCAGCAGCCGCGGUAAUACGGAGGAUCCGAGCGUUAUCCGGAUUUAUUGGGUUUAAAGGGAGCGUAGGUGGAUUGUUAAGUCAGUUGUGAAAGUUUGCGGCUCAACCGUAAAAUUGCAGUUGAAACUGGCAGUCUUGAGUACAGUAGAGGUGGGCGGAAUUCGUGGUGUAGCGGUGAAAUGCUUAGAUAUCACGAAGAACUCCGAUUGCGAAGGCAGCUCACUGUACUGCAACUGACACUGAGGCUCGAAGGUGUGGGUAUCAAACAGGAUUAGAUACCCGGGUAGUC
rnacentral:rRNA from 1 species